rnacentral:rRNA from 1 species
AACACGCUGGCGGCGUGCCUAACACAUGCAAGUCGAACGAGAAAGUGGAGCAAUCCAUGAGUACAGUGGCGACCGGGUGAGUAACACGUGACCAACCUGCCCUCGAGUGGGGAAUAACUCCGGGAAACCGGAGCUAAUACCGCAUAACAUCGCAAGAUCAAAGCCGCAAGGCGCUUGAGGAGGGGGUCGCGGCUGAUUAGCUAGUUGGUAGGGUAAUGGCCUACCAAGGCGAAGAUCGGUAGCCGGCCUGAGAGGGCGCACGGCCACACUGGAACUGAAACACGGUCCAGACUCCUACGGGAGGCAGCAGUGGGGAAUUUUGCGCAAUGGGGGAAACCCUGACGCAGCAACGCCGCGUGGAGGAUGAAGUCCCUUGGGACGUAAACUCCUUUCGACCGGGACGAUACUGACGGUACCGGAAGAAGAAGCACCGGCUAACUCUGUGCCAGCAGCCGCGGUAAUACAGAGGGUGCGAGCGUUGUUCGGAAUUAUUGGGCGUAAAGGGCGCGUA